AUCCUUGCGCAGGGGCCAUGCUAAUUGGAACGAUACAGAGAAGAUUAGCAUGACCCUGCACAAGGAUGACCCGCACAAAUCGAGAAAUGGUCCAAAUGAUA